CCUACGGGAGGCAGCAGAAGGGAAUCUUCCACAAUGGGCGAAAGCCUGAUGGAGCAACGCCGCGUGGGUGAAGAAGGUCUUCGGAUCGUAAAACCCUGUUGUUAGAGAAGAAAGUGCGUGAGAGUAACUGUUCACGUUUCGACGGUAUCUAACCAGAAAGCCACGGCUAACUACGUGCCAGCAGCCGCGGUAAUCCGUAGGUGGCAAGCGUUAUCCGGAUUUAUUGGGCGUAAAGGGAACGCAGGCGGUCUUUUAAGUCUGCUGUGAAAGCCUUCGGCUUAACCGGAGUAGUGCAUUGGAAACUGGGAGACGUGAGUGCAGAAGAGGAGAGUGGAACUCCAUGUGUAGCGGUGAAAUGCGUAGAUAUAUGGAAGAACACCAGUGGCGAAAGCGGCUCUCUGGUCUGUAACUGACGCUGAGGUUCGAAAGCGUGGGUAGCAAACAGGAUUAGAUACCCGGGUAGUC
rnacentral:rRNA from 1 species